rnacentral:rRNA from 1 species
AAGAGUAAAGGGAGAGAUCCGCUUAUGGAGGGGCUCGCGGCCUAUUAGGUAGUUGGUGAGGCAACGGCUCACCAAGCCGAUGACGGGUAGCCGGUCUGAGAGGAUGUCCGGCCACACUGGAACUGAGACACGGUCCAGACACCUACGGGUGGCAGCAGUCGAGAAUCAUUCACAAUGGGGGGAACCCUGAUGGUGCGACGCCGCGUGGGGGAGGAAGGUCUUCGGAUUGUAAACCCCUGUCAUGCAGGAGCAAGGCUGAAAGGUUGAUAGUACUGCAAGAGGAAGAGACGGCAAACUCUGUGCCAGCAGCCGCGGUAAUACAGAGGUCUUAAGCGUUGUUCGGAAUCACUGGGCGUAAAGGGUACGUAGGCGGUCGGGCAAGUUGCGCGUGAAAGGCAGGGGCUCAACCUCUGGAAUGCGCGUGAAACUACGCGACUGGAGUAAUGGAGAGGGAACCGGAAUUCUUGGUGUAGCAGUGAAAUGCGUAGAUAUCAAGAAGAAGACUCGAGGCGAAGGCGGGUUCCUGGACAUUAACUGACGCUGAGGUACGAAGGCCGGGGUAGCGAAAGGGAUUAGAUACCCUGGUAGUCCACGCCGUAAACGAUGAGUGCUAAGUGUUAGAGGGUUUCCGCCCUUUAGUGCUGCAGCUGACGCAUUAAGCACUCCGCCUGGGGAGUACGGCCGCAAGGCUGAAACUCAAAGGAAUUGACGGGGGCCCGCACAAGCGGUGGAGCAUGUGGUUUAAUUCGAAGCAACGCGAAGAACCUUACCAGGUCUUGACAUCCUCUGACAACCCUAGAGAUAGGGCUUUCCCCUUCGGGGGACAGAGUGACAGGUGGUGCAUGGUUGCCGUCAGCUCGUGUCGUGAGAUGUUGGGUUAAGUCCCGCAACGAGCGCAACCCUUGAUCUUAGUUGCCAGCAUUCAGUUGGGCACUCUAAGGUGACUGCCGGUGACAAACCGGAGGAAGGUGGGGAUGACGUCAAAUCAUCAUGCCCCUUAUGACCUGGGCUACACACGUGCUACAAUGGAUGGUACAAAGGGCUGCGAACCUGCGAAGGUAAGCGAAUCCCAUAAAGCCAUUCUCAGUUCGGAUUGCAGGCUGCAACUCGCCUGCAUGAAGCCGGAAUCGCUAGUAAUCGCGGAUCAGCAUGCCGCGGUGAAUACGUUCCCGGGCCUUGCACACACCCGCCCGUCA